GAAUAUUCCGCAAUGCGCGAAAGCGUGACGGAGCAAUGCCGCGUGCAGGAUGAAGCGGUUUUGCCGUGUAAACUGCUGUCAGGGAUAAGAAAUACUGAUCUAUCCCAGAGGAAGGGGCGACUAACUCUGUGCCAGCAGUCGCGGUAAUACAGAGGCCCCGAGCGUUAAUCGGAAUCACUGGGCUUAAAGGGUGCGUAGGCGGGCCAGUAAGCGCUUUGUGAAAUCCCACGGCUCAACCGUGGAACCGCAGGGCGAACUGCUGGUCUUGAGGAAGCUAGAGGCUGGUAGAACGAUAGGUGGAGCGGUGGAAUGCGUAGAGAUCUAUCGGAAUGCCGAAAGUGAAGACAGCCAGCUGGGGCUUUCCUGACGCUAAAGCACGAAAGCGUGGGGAGCAAACCGG
rnacentral:rRNA from 1 species